UGCUGUUGUUGAUGAUGAUGAUGGUGAUGAUGAUGGUGGUGAAGGUGGAAAAGAGGAUGAUGAAAAAUCGAUUUUUCCUACGAUGGUAAAACUCAUCGCCACCGCAGCCACCGCCAUCACCAUCAUCAUGAUCAUCUUCG
rnacentral:pre_miRNA from 1 species